rnacentral:rRNA from 1 species
CAGUAGCCGCGGGAAAACGUAGGGUGCAAGCGUUAAUCGGAAUUACUGGGCGUAAAGCGUGCGCAGGCGGUUAUAUAAGACAGAUGUGAAAUCCCCGGGCUCAACCUGGGAACUGCAUUUGUGACUGUAUAGCUAGAGUACGGCAGAGGGGGAUGGAAUUCCGCGUGUAGCAGUGAAAUGCGUAGAUAUGCGGAGGAACACCGAUGGCGAAGGCAAUCCCCUGGGCCUGUACUGACGCUCAUGCACGAAAGCGUGGGGAGCAAACAGGAUUAGAGACCCGCGUAGUCCCUGUCUCUUAUAC